UCACAAAAAAUGCUGCUUUUGAGUUUGUGACAAACUCCCAGCCUGCUUUACAAAUAAGGUGCUUGAAACCUGAUCCAAUUCUUGCUGGAGCAUCAGCUUACACAUUCCAGAACCACAUUCGGAUGGAGGUAGUAACGCAAGACAUACCGGCUGCUUCAGAACAAGGCAUUUUCUAACAGUUGAGCUAACAGAGGAGAAAGGAAAUAGAUUCUGGCACUGCUCGUCUUUAGGAGGAAGCAGACAUAAGAUGCGUAAACCUGAAGAGAAGCUUGGAAAGGCAGUGACUCCCUUUCGGGCACGGUGUGCCUGGAUCCAGGGUGGGCUCGCAGGGCCGAGAACACCCCGACGGGCUCUAGACAAAGGCAGGAGGAAGGCGCUGGGGCUGGGUGCCCCUAGGGCAGCACGCGAGGGCUGCGGGAAGGGAGCCAGGGCAGCGGGGACAGCGAAGGCGGCGGAGCGGGGGGAGGCGGCGGGGGAGGCGUGCCCGGGGCGGGGAGCGAGCUCGGGCGCACGCAGGCUCGGGAGGGAGCGCGGCGGGGGCCGAGGCGGGGCCGAGCAUCGCUGCGUGCGCUCGGGGGGAGCCGGGGGAGGGCCCGAGGAACCGCGCGACUGUGGGAGGGCGGCGUAGGAAGGGAAGGGGCCGAGGAGGCGGCCCUGACGGGGAAGGGCCCUCAGGGGCUCUCACCCGCUUCCCGAGGAACCGCGUGCGCGGCGGAGGCCGAGGCGGAGUCCCCAUUUCAAACAGCAGCCAAAGCCUCGCGGCGUGGCUGGGCUCCCGGCCACGGGCUCCGGCGGGAACAGGUUGAGACCUGGCCCAGCAGCAGCCCGCGGGGCCCUCGCUCUGGGAGGAGUCCGCCCCCGGGCCGCGCCGCCUCCGCCGGGCCGGGCUGGGCCGGGCCGGGCCGGGCCUCUCCGCUCCGCGCCGCCGCUUCCCUCAGGGCCGAGAGUCCCCGACGCCUCCCGCCCCCGCAGCCCCGCGGGGUGCCAGGCCUCGUGACUCCAUUAGCAAGGCCUGUGGCAUUUCCUGUCUGAGCUUCGCAGGCAGAGGACAGGCAGGCUGCUUCCAUCGGGUGGGGAAGGGACGGAGCCCGGUGCCCCAGCAGCUCCAACCUUUGUCUUGAGCGAACGGCCCAACCAACGCUUUGGACGCCCCUCGUGCUGGCUUGGUGCUGCGGCACAUCUGCAAGCGCUUAGCUGGCCCCGGCGCUGAGCUUCUUUCCCGGCCCUGUGAGCAGCCAGGAGGGGGGAGUGAGCUCGUCCCGGCUCCAGCUGCUCAGGACCGGCAGCUGCGGCCGAAGGUUGGGCACGGAGAGACUCUGCGGCCCCGGGGAGAGAAGAGAAAUGGAGAGAAAGAGCAGGUUGGGCAGCAGGAGGGAGCAGAAAAUGGGCCAGGGAGUGAGUCGGUAGGGAGGGCUGUGAAACAGCAGAGAGCUACAACUUGGUAGGAGAAAGCAGGAGAAAAUAAUGUUUGCACAAGCAAGGUCAUUCUUGGGAUGAGAUAUGUUAGAAACUGCGCUAUUUCCCCAUGUUUUUUAUGGUUUCUCAUACAGCCCAUAAUGACAUCACGAUACAAAAGCAUAUGUGAAGACUUUGAAAGAACAAUACAGCGAAGAGAAGUGUUCCACCGCUCUCUCCAUCCCAACCCCAGCUUUUUUUAGAUGAGCUGUAAUGAAUUCAGUACGUAAUUCCACUUUAAGUCCUGCAUGAACCCAUGAGCCUUUCUGUUGUUCCCUUUAGGAUCACUGCCAUAGAAGAGUGCAGUGGUACUGCUCUUACUGGUGAUAACAUCACCUCCAUAUCCCCUCUUAUCUUUUUUCCUCUUUUAGCUACAAUGAGAGGAUCUCAACUUUUUUCCCCCAAUAAGUUCUCCAGUGAAACAAAGGAAAAAACAAUGAAAGAAGAGGAUAGCUGAUAGAUUAAAAGCUCUACGUUGUUUGAAAAGGAGAACUAUGGAAAGGUUCUCAAUGCUUUCUCUGAAAAGCUGAGAAAACUUAUGCACGCUUAGUCAAGAUAUGACAAGAUUUGAUUACUCUCAGGAGAAAACAACUCUUUCAUCUCACAUACAUGAGAAACAUAACUUGACAAGUCAGAAGGGAAAUAUCUGGACAAACUGAUGCAAAACAAUACAGACCAAAGUAUUUAGUAGAAAGCAGACAAUCUCUGAUAGUACUAAGAUAGUAUUAUAAAGAAAAUAAUUGAAUUGUAACCACAAUGUGAUAAAGAUAUCAAAUUUUAGCUACAUGCUGAUGUUUUUUAUCCACCUACCUAGUUUCAGUAAACUAAAUGUUAACGCCAGAGUUAAAGAGAGCAAGUGAUAAAUGGGAGCUGAGAAAGCUGUGUCAGCACAUGAAACCUUAGCAGGUAAGGUAGUCUGCGAGCAAAAGCAGAAGUGGGGCAAAGGAGUUGGAGACAAAGCACAGAGCAAAACUGGAAAUAAAUGUCAACAGAACAAUCUGAUUGGGAAACUGAAAUGAAGGUGGAAACUGCUGUAAAAAAGAAAGAAAAAAGAAUUCUGCUGGUUUGAAAUGGCAGGUGACCGAAACCAAAAGGUAUUCCGAAUAUGUCCUCAGAGCUGCUGGAGUAAUGUGAGAUCUUACACCUGGUGAGACACUGCGGGGACCUGCUUGCUGAUGUAAUGACUACCACGUAUGACGGGAGAAAAUGAUGCAAACCAGCUCAGCACAUCUCUCCUAGGAAGGUGGAUCAGCACUGGCAGCCAGCAGAAACUUCAGCGUGGUAGACCUGAGGAGAUUUAGAAGCCCUGGCAGCCCUCUGAAAGUGUAAGCUCAUGGUUUAACCACAGUGGGCUUCACUGUGGCCUCGCUGAGCUGGGCCACGAUACAGGUUCAUCCUUUGCAUGCUGCCCUGACCUCCAUUCCUCGGCUUGGCACACAGAUGCAGGACAGACCCGGCUUCAGUCCGCAUGAGCUGCACGUGCACACCGGCUGUGCCCAUGCCACCGCUCAGCGGCUGCUGGAGCAGUGCUGGCAGCCAGCCCUGGCUAUCCGCAGCCCUCUGCUUCAGCAGACAGGCAGCUCUCCCAGGGCCUCCUUCGCUGGCACUGCCUGGUACCGGCUGCGUGAGCUGCGUGCCGUGCUGCUCUGCAGGCAGCCGCUGACCCUCCCAGCCCCCUUCCCGUGCUGGGCUGCGCUUGAUGCCUCCCGAGCUUUGCUGCUCCUUUCGCAGAGCCCCUGCUGGGCUGGCCAGACAUCCACACAUCGGCGGUGACGGGAAGGCUGCUGUAGAGUUGGACAGUGUUUAUAAAACCGCAGGAAUUAAUAGGAACUCAAUGGCUGAGAGCAAGGCUGAAACUGUGCUUUUAAAGACCAAAAGAAAAAAAAAAGUGUGAUUUCCAGUUUAUUUGUGCAGCUUUGAGCUUUGCAGAGGAUCUCAGGCCGUGACAUUUCCACAUUGCAAAUGAUUAUAAAAAAUGUGUUUUUAAAAUAGCUUUAAAGGGUCGAUGCUGUUACUACUUAUGUAGGUGAACUUGCCUUAGCAGGGGCUUGGACUGAAUGAUCUCCAGAGGUCCCCUCUAACCCCUGUGAUUCUGUGACUGUGAACAAGAGACAGAAAUCCACACAGAGUGAAGUUCCUCACUUCUGUUGAGUCACUGUGCUAUAAUGAUUUCCAGCCCACGGGAGGGUCUUCCCGAGAGAAUGUUUCAUCUGCACUGACGAGCACUGUCUCUCUCUGGAUGUUUGUAUGCGGUUUACUUCCACGUUUCUCAACCAGUGGGUUGCAAGCCUGCAGACAAAGAGGUUAGGACAGUCAGUCAGGAGGUUGCUUAAGCUUUGAAGCAAGUAGUUUAAGAGAGAUAGGAGUGAGUCCUGUCCCAGGCCCAAAACUGUGACGGCAAUGAAGCAUUUUCCACUACGCCCUGCUGUGUCGCUGCAGCGUUUUCUGUCUCUCCUUCUAGGGCCCUGGGGGCCAGAAAGCUGGGCGAGGAGAGCAGGAAAAUGUGCGCUUGCACUGCCGGUGUUGGGAGCCAAGCAGACAUGAGUCAGCCUUGAGCUGGAAGCUGUGCAGCUGUCGUCAGUGCAGUGCUGCUGCCGAGCCCUGUUGGGAGGCAAGGUGUGCUCAUCCAGCUCGUGCUGCACCAGCAUGACCCUGUGUGGUUGGGGGAAGAGUUUGGGCUGUGGUUCAGAGCUGGGACAGAGCUUGCUUGCCUCUGCCUGCCAAAGACAACGUGGACGUGCUCUGAGUCUGUGUUGUUUUUCUCAUAAUAAAUGUUUGAUUAAAGCUCAUAAGUUAUCCGUGUCUUUCUUUAAUUUGGCUCAGGAGUAGGGCAGGAGGCCUGUCUGUAAUGUACCGUUUCCUUUAAGCCCAACCUGGCAAAUUCUGACCACCUUUGAAAUAAGCAGCAUUGCGAAACAGUCCUGAGUGCUUCUGCAGAUGAGCACAUUCCUGCAGCAGAGCUCAGCCUAAAACUCCAGGAGCAGAUGGAAGAAAGGCUAAGGAAGGUAAUUAAAUGUGGCUGUUGCCUAAGAAGUAAGCCUGUUGUAGCAGCUCAGCUGAGCCCUGUAAGCCAGAUACAGGCUACAGCCUCACUUUGUGCAGUCUGCAGUCACAGCACUCUGAGUUUUAUAGAAUCACAGAAUUGUUUGAAUUGAAAGGAACUUUUGAAGGCCAUCUGAUCCAACUCCCCUGCAAUAACAGGGACACCUACAGCUCGAUCAGGUUUUCAG
rnacentral:lncRNA from 1 species